UACGGAGGAUCCGAGCGUUAUCCGGAUUUAUUGGGUUUAAAGGGUGCUCAGGCGGGGGAUUAAGUCGGCGGUGAAAUUUUGCAGCUCAACUGUAAAAGUGCCUUCGAAACUGGUUUCCUUGAGUGUAGAUGAAGUAGGCGGAAUUUGUGGUGUAGCGGUGAAAUGCAUAGAUAUCACGAGGAACUCCGAUUGCGCAGGCAGCUUACUAAACUACUACUGACGCUCAGGCACGAAGGCGUGGGGAUCAAACAGGAUUAGAUACCCGGGUAGUCCCU
rnacentral:rRNA from 1 species